AUGAACGCUAGCUACAGGCUUAACACAUGCAAGUCGAGGGGCAUCAGUUUGGUUUGCUUGCAAACCAAAGCUGGCGACCGGCGCACGGGUGAGUAACACGUAUCCAACCUGCCUCAUACUCGGGGAUAGCCUUUCGAAAGAAAGAUUAAUAUCCGAUAGCAUAUAUUUCCCGCAUGGGUUUUAUAUUAAAGAAAUUCGGUAUGAGAUGGGGAUGCGUUCCAUUAGUUUGUUGGGGGGGUAACGGCCCACCAAGACUACGAUGGAUAGGGGUUCUGAGAGGAAGGUCCCCCACAUUGGAACUGAGACACGGUC
rnacentral:rRNA from 1 species